rnacentral:lncRNA from 1 species
GGCACACCGCAUGGUAAGCGGAGCGAGCGCUCACUGCGUCAGUUCUUUGGGGCGGCGACGGAGAGGCCUUCGAUCGAGCUCAGCCUCAGCGAAAUUGAACUCCUAGAUCAGAUCAUCCUCCCUCUCCUCGCAUCGACUUUGCCUUCGGUGCUUGCUCGAUCGAGCUCCGCCACGGCGAAAGCGAUCUCCGAGAUCAUCUCAUCCUCCCUCUCCUCGCAUCGACUCUGCCUUCGGUGGUUGCUCGAUCGAGCUCAGCCUCAGCGAAAUUGAUCUCCUAGAUCAGAUCAUCCUCCCUCUCCUCGCAUCGAGUUUUCCUUCGGUGCAUGCUCGAUCGAGCUCCGCCUCGGCGAAAGCGAUCUCCGAGAUCAACUAAUCCUCCCUCUCCGCGCAUCGAGUCUGCCCUGGCUGUUUGCCCCAAGGUAAUCCAAUCCGACGCAAACCCUACGGGCUAAUAGACGGUGCAAAACAGUGCACUGGGUGAUUCGACGCCAAUAGACGGUGCAAGGGGUAGUUUGAAUAUUGUUUAAAUUAGGGAGCUCAUUUGAAAAAUUAUUCAGUAGCACUUUUUUAAAAAGAUAAAAAAAAUGAGGGAAAUCAUCCAAACAUCUUUUAAUUUUCAUAAUGUUAUGAAUAGCUAUUAAUUUGUCUUAUUAUACAAAGGUUGAGUACUUUUUUAUUCAAUUAAAUUAAGAUCACAUCAAUUCUAUAAGCCUCAUUAUUAUCCUUUCUAAACAUAGUGGAUGAACAACUCAAAAUCGAAAAACCUAUGUGGGAAAAGGUGCAACUUCUUUUGUUCUUCUUGGCUUUUAUUAUGUAUACAAGUACAUGAAUAUCUUGGUUACUGUUAGAAUAGCGUAAAGCUUUUGGAAUUAAUGGAUGCCUAAUCAAAAUUUUUGCCACAGUAUUAACUAAGUACUAAGUUUAAUCCAUCAAAAUUAGUGGAUAGUGGCCUUCACAACAAAAAAGAUGAUGCUGAUGAAUAUGGCUGAGUGAUUGGCAGGGGAAACCAUGGAGUGUCAGCAGAAUUAUAAGGAUUCAUAUAGAUUGGAGAGCACAAAAAUGGUACAAUGGCUUCAGUUCUCUUGUGUUCCUCUUCCACCUUUCUCCCUUAGUCUCCCCUCUAUGCUGUCUGCUGAAUUGGUGUUCAUGUUAAUAAUUUGUUUUGCUGGUGAUGAGAAUGGAAACUGUAUGUGUUCUG